AGCAAAUCAUUCUAUUGGUUAAGAACAAAAUUUAACAAAUUUAUGUGCAUUUUAAAUUUAGGCUAUAGGGUAUUCAGCAGAGACUGAAGAGGCAUUCAAAGGACAACAAAGCGGCCUGAAAUGGCGCGUACGUGAGCCCGAAAAACUAAUCAAAGCCCGCGGCUUUUGGUCGCAUCAACUCGAGCUGGCCGCGAUUGAAGCGUUUGGUUAAAACGCCCACGCGAAACGACAACGGGUGUAGGAUGUACGUGUGUGUGUGUGUGUGUGUGGUUGUGUGGGUGUGUGUUGGAAGGCGGCAGCCGACAGCCGGCAGCAGCCAAAAGUCUCAUCAAUCAAAAUCUUCGUGUGAUAAUUUUGUGUAGCAUGCCACGAGAAAUCACAAACAUUUCUUUCAACUAAACUGAGCGCCAUGCCACACGCCACUAACCCACAUUUCAGUUAACACUUGGCCGACGAUGAUGCCGACGAACGUUGCAAAAGGGGGGGAGCGGGGCUUGGACAUGGAUACGGGUUGCCACGGGGGACGCUGUCAUGCUUUGCUGUUGGCCAACUUUGUUGUGUCUAAAUGAAUUUGUUGCUGGCCAAAACGAUGACGUUGCCCAUGAUGAGCCGCGGCGUUGAUAAUGACGUAACGGACAGACUGUCUGCCUGUGACUAUCGCCCAGCUGCUUGGCAGUGCGAGAGGGACAGGCAGUGGAAGCGGGAACGGCAACGGAAACGGGAGCGUGUGUCCGACAUGCUCUCGCUCUGCGGCUUAUCCUUUGCGAGACGUGAGACGCGAGUCGCGUCAUUUUCAAAGGCCCUCGGGUGACCCACUGACAAAUCGAAACUUCCGCAUGUUGCCUGGGAACGCGGCCUUAAUUUCAAAGUUAAGCGUUAUAAACACAUUCAUUUAACACCCUCCCCCAUGUUACCCACACUUGUCAGCCUAGGCCGCAAAGAUAUCUCGACGAGCCAAAAGCUAAUGUUGCGCGAUUUCGAGACACAAAUUGCUGUCAUUAAAAUCAUUUGAAUGCGCAUAAAAGCCACGUUAAAAAGAAGGAAAAACCAGUGGAAAAUACCAACAACAACAACGAAAUGAAAUGGAAUAAAAUGAAAUGUUCGUCCAUUCAAUUAGAUUGGAGCUGAUUCCAGGCAACAUUAUUUGCUCGGGCAACUUUACUUAACUGUCAUUCAGCAAUAGAUUACUGUUUGUCCAGAUGUUAAUAAAACACCCUCAACCACCCUUAUGGGCAGAAUAAA